GUUCGACAUCGGUGGUGUGAACUCGUUGUUAAACACAAAUAUGGGCCCGGAUAUGGAGAUGUUGAGAAGUUUCUCAGAGAAGAUCAAGCAAUGGGUGUGUACCUGUAUGGUGAGCUAAUGGUGAAUGAAGAUGCAAAACAACAAGAACUUGCCUAUAAAUGCUUUGCUGCAACACGAGAACAUAUGGAUGUGUCCUCAGCUAAAGUGGUGGCAGAGAUGUUAUUCUGAAGAGGAAAGAUCACAGAGAAAUUCUUUUAAUAUAUCUCCUACUCAACCCUGGUGGUACUAGGAUUUCAUUGACCCAAGACAUCAAAGGAAGGAUUAUGUGACUGCUAAAUCAAUCAGCUGACAGAAACAUUUACCUCUCAGUAUUUAUGGUUUCCAGAGGCUCACUGUAACCAAGAACAGUUUAAAAAAAAACAAACAAACAAACAAAAACACACACACGCACACAUGUGUGUGCACGCACGCACACACACAUACACACACACACACACACACACACCCCUGUGGCUCAAGGUAGUUGUUUAGUACAGGAUAUUUGGGUUUCAUCCUUGCUGUUUGAGGAUAUAGCCAUUCCAACUUGCAGAUGCCAAGGGCUGUUCAUUUGAAUGAUUAAUGCACUCCAGUAACUUGACCAACAUACACAGAAAUUAGAUGAACCUUUAUUCUGUACUUAACAUUUUGUUUGCAACUUCUAUGCCAAAUUAAAAAGUUAAUAUAAAUUAGCUGGGGAGAGCAGGGGCUAAUUUGAAGAUGGAGUAGUCUGUGAAAAGUGACCAACCGCUGUUCUGGGUUUGGCAUGGGAUAGAGGAAGAUACUAAGAUCAGCAUCAGUCUCUGUCUUGUAUAGGUUAACUUUUGCCAUAAAUAUCAGACAUCAUUAUAUUUCUGAAAAUGUUUUUCUUACGCUUGUGCUGCUCCUUUUGUACGACGAUAUAUCAAGUGUAGCUCUUCUUCUCCAGGAAUGUACUGGUCUACUGAUCACAAGACAUCUUAAUUGUUCCUUUCAGAGAAAGAGCCUUUGAAACACAAAAAUUUGUUAACAUAUUUACUUUGUACGUUAUUGUUCUACAUCAAAUACUCUUGUAAAAAUAAAUAGUUUU